GUGAUCACUUCAGCAGCACAUAUACUAAAAUUGGAACACAGAGAAGGUUAGCGUGGCCCCUGACAAGAAAGAAAAAAACAAACAAGGAGUAGAGAUGAAGUGCUUU